CAGUAGCCGCGGUAAAACGAAGGGGGCUAGCGUUGUUCGGAAUUACUGGGCGUAAAGCGCACGUAGGCGGACAUUUAAGUCAGGGGUGAAAUCCCGGGGCUCAACCCCGGAACUGCCUUUGAUACUGGGUGUCUAGAGUAUGGAAGAGGUGAGUGGAAUUCCGAGUGUAGAGGUGAAAUUCGUAGAUAUUCGGAGGAACACCAGUGGCGAAGGCGGCUCACUGGUCCAUUACUGACGCUGAGGUGCGAAAGCGUGGGGAGCAAACAGGAUUAGAUACCCCUGUAGUCCCUGUCUCUUAUAA
rnacentral:rRNA from 1 species